CAGGCCAGAGGUUUCUAGAUAAAUCAAGAAGUGCAGUUUGACUGGAGGAACUCGCUCUCUCUUGCCUUGGCCUCGGCAAAAUCUCAUGGGUGAAUUCCUUCAGUGGCACAUGGGAGGGCUCUGGCCAUAAACUGGGAAUGACAAUGGAAUGAUGGAAUCUUUCCUUUGCCAAUAGAAACUCCAUCAAAAGUCUCCUUGUGACAAUUCCUUGUGUUUGAUGCAUUUCACUGGCUGUUUGUGCUCCUGGUCAUCAGUCUGGAGCUGCUGCCUCUCCUGUGCUGUGGUGUUGUGAGGGUCUCCAGGAUGAGGUGAGAGGUGAGAAUCUGACUCCA